CCCAACAACGCCAUCUCGUUGUAAAAAAACACGCCAUUGGUGGCAAAAGUCAGAUACUCCUCCGCUUUUCCCCCUCCCUUUUGUCGGGGUUGGGCGAGGCGAAAUCGAGCAGGGUACGAGAAAGGAAGAAAGAAAGGCCACCCAAGAGGUGGGGGCGGUGGCGGUGGCGCAGUCAGCAGUACCUUGGGGUCGGAGAACUGGGUCAGGCCACCCAAGAGGCCCUCCAGCUGCUUCAGCUUCAUCUCCUCCCCCUGCCGUCGCCGUCGCCUUUGUGGGUGCAGACGAAGCGCAC
rnacentral:lncRNA from 1 species